GUCCUCAUAUUUUGUUGGUGUCUUUAUGGAGACUCAUCAUGAGUAUUCUAACAUUCCUGUUUUGCUUUUUUUUGUGUGUAUGUGUGGUUUUUUAAAAUUAAUUAAUUUGUUUUUAAUAGAUGUGUUUACACAUGAACACACUGCCAUACAUAUACAGAAAGACUUUCAGACAGGCUUUGCAGACUUACAGCUCUCUCUUCUCAUGUUCACCAGCAUCAUUAACAACCCUUUCCCAUGCUUUCUGCUGUUACUGGCCUUGGUCACCAAGGAUGUUGCCAUGAGGUGGCUUUGAUCCCUUCUCUGACUGUGAGACUCCCUCACUGACUGGAGAGAUUCACUUCUCCCAGGUCUGACUUUGGUGGAUUUGCUCCUGGCUUCCACAGUUUGAGGCAAGAAGCUGUAUCUCGUGGUUCUGGAAUUGGUUGGGAAGGCGGAGAAGGAAGAGAGGAAGAAAACACAAGAGCUGAGGAGGAAGAGGUUGUCCCUGUCUAUUUGUUGAGAACAACUCACUGGCAAAUAAAACAGGUGGAAAGACUAUGAUAUUUGAGGAAAAAGAAAUGUGGAAAAUAAAUGCCAAGGAAAGGAAAUUCAGCUGUUUGUUCUGCAAGAUGGAGAGAACUGCAGAAAGAAGAUUUAGAACUGGAAGGACUUAAUGUGAUGGAUGGUACAAGAUGUUCUCUAGUCACACUGUCUUUGUACAAAUUGUUUCGUACACCUUUACCAUGACAUACUACAUAUGCACUCAAUCAGGAUACAGUUCCUCUGUAACCUCAGGAAUUUCCACCCUGUUGGGCAUAGUCUCUAAAUAGUUUUCCUUGCAAAAUUGUUGCAAGACUUGUGUUGUUCUUCUUCUCUCUUCUCUUCUCUUCUCUUCUCUUCUCUUCUCUUCUCUUCUCUUCUCUUCUCUUCUCUUCUCUUCUCUUCUCUUCUCUUCUCUUCUCUUCUCUUCUCUUCUCUUCUCUUCUCUUCUCUUCUCUUCUCUUCUCUUCUCUUCUCUUCUCUUCUCUUCUUCUCUUCCAUUCAUGCAUGGGGAGGAAAACCCAGUUGGGAGCACCAUAUGGAGACAACACAAGUUAUUGCUGUCUCACCAUUUUCUUGGCACAGAUUUCCUCUGUCAAACAUCACUUCGGAUCAGGGACCUCAUUCUGCAUUCACACUCCCCACUGCUUCUUCCUUCCUUGGAAGCAUCAGGAGGGACUUAUAAUAUUGCUACAAGGAGCCCUUUACGGGAAAACAAAUAAAUUGGGCAAUAGGCUUCAAAUAAUGGAAGAAUGAAUUAUUUCACCAUUUUAGCAAUUUCCCAGGGGGAGGGUAGAGGGAGAAAAUGCACUUAACACUCUAAAAUAUUAAAAUAACAAGAACCACAGAGGCCUCAUCCCUCUGGACUUGAACCAAACGGAAUGAUUUAGGUAGAAUGCCAGCAGAUCUCCAAGUGGCACAUUCCAUUAGGGAGUAUUUCUAUGCAUGGCAAGAGAAAUUGUCCAUAUUAAUGGUAUUAUGAACCGGCUCAGCUAAUUUGGAGUUCUUCCAUAAGGCCUAGUUUCUGGCAGAUUAGCUGAAUAUUUUUUGGAAUAUGAAUUCCUCUUUUAAUGUUGAGUUUGAUCCUGUUUUCGUGGACAAUGUUCCUGGAAAAUUACUUUCUUAAAGCUGUAUUUCAUAUAUAUAUAUAAAUGAGAGAUGUUACUCCUUUGUAUUCCUGGAACAGGCUUAAAAUAUUCUGAGCAGUAACUAGAAGGCAAUGGGAUGAAGGGAACUAUAUUUGAUUUUUCAGAAUUACUGGUUGCAUACAAAGAAAAAAGCAAACACCACUGUGAAGGUAAAAGGUCUUUCUAAGAACUUAAAUAAGAGCAUACAAAUGCCCUCCUAGAUUUUAUUUACGUUUUUGCUGAAAAUUUUAAUAGCGUGUUUUCAGUGAGCAAAAAUGGGAUUAAACUAGAAAGAACUCAU